GACGAACGCUGGCGGCGUGCUUAACACAUGCAAGUCGAACGGUGACGCGCCUUCAUCUUGGGCUGGCGUGGAUGAGUUGGGAACCGGUGAGUAACACCAGAGUAACCUGCUCCCUUCUUCUGGAUAACCGCAUGAAAGUGUGGCUAAUACGGGAUAUUCCCUGUCUGUCGCAUGAUGGGUUUGGGAAAGAUAUUGUUUUGGUGGGGGAUGGGAUCGCGGCCUAUCAGUUUGUUGGUGGGGUGAUGGCCUACCAAGGCGGUGACGAGGAGCUGGGAUGAGAGGAUGGACGGUCACACUGGGACUGAGACACGGCCCAGACUACUACGGGAGGCAGCGGGGAAGAAUAUUGCACAAUGGGCGCAAGCCUGAUGCAGCGACGCCGCGUGAGAGAUGGAGGCCUUCGGGUUGUGAACCUCUUUCGCCAGUGAAGCAGACCUGCCUCGUUUGUGGGUGGGUUGACGGUAGCUAGAUAAGAAGCGCCGGCUAACUACGUG
rnacentral:rRNA from 1 species